rnacentral:rRNA from 1 species
CUACGGGACGCUCCAGUGGGGGAUAUUGCACAAUGGGCGAAAGCCUGAUGCAGCAACGCCGCGUGAAGGAAGACGGUUUUCGGAUUGUAAACUUCUAUCAGCAGGGAAGAAAAAAGACUGUACCUGACUAAGAAGCCCCGGCUAACUACGUGCCAGCAGCCGCGGUAAUACGUAGGGGGCAAGCGUUAUCCGGAUUUACUGGGUGUAAAGGGUACGUAGGCGGUUUAUUAAGUCAGAUGUGAAAGCCCGGAGCUCAACUCCGGGACUGCAUUUGAAACUGGUGAACUAGAGUACAGGAGAGGUAAGUGGAAUUCCUAGUGUAGCGGUGAAAUGCGUAGAUAUUAGGAAGAACACCAGUGGCGAAGGCGACUUACUGGACUGUAACUGACGCUGAGGUACGAAAGCGUGGGGAGCGAACAGGAUUAGAUACCCUUGUAGUC